ACAGGUACUAGGAAUCCUUCUACCUUGGAAGAUGAACUACUUUAUACAAAUUGGAAUACACGCACGGAACACUUCUCUUUUUUCCAGGUAGAACUGUUUUCCCAGUGGAAAUACUUAACAUUCACAUUGAAAAAACGCCUUUUUCAAUUCUCUUUUUCAAAUCACAUUUGAGAUUA